AGCCAAAUAGCUUAGACUUAAAGCAUGUAUUUUGAAAAUACAAGACAGAAAAUAAAAAUUUCAUUGGCUU